rnacentral:rRNA from 1 species
GACGAACGCUGGCGGCGUGCUUAACACAUGCAAGUCGAACGGAAAGGCCCUGCUUUUGUGGGGUGCUCGAGUGGCGAACGGGUGAGUAACAUGUGAGUAACCUGCCCUGGACUUUGGGAUAACUGCAGGAAACUGGGGCUAAUACCGGAUAGGAGCUCCUGCUGCAUGGUGGGGGUUGGAAAGCUUCGGCGGUUGGGGAUGGACUCGCGGCUUAUCAGCUUGUUGGUGGGGUAGUGGCUUACCAAGGCUUUGACGGGUAGCCGGCCUGAGAGGGUGACCGGCCACAUUGGGACUGAGAUACGGCCCAGACUCCUACGGGAGGCAGCAGUGGGGAAUAUUGCACAAUGGGCGGAAGCCUGAUACAGCAACGCCGCGUGCGGGAUGACGGCCUUCGUGUUGUAAACCGCUUUCGCCUGUGACGAAGCGUGAGUGACGGUAAUGGGUAAAGAAGCACCGGCUAACUACGUG